UCACACACCAUCUCUGCCACCGCCUCCCUGUGGACUCAGUGAUCGGGGAUCGCUGCUGGGGGCUUGCCCGCCCUCCGGACAGAGGGCCCGGGGUGAAGCAAGCCUCACAUCAACACAAAUGUCAUCGUGAAAAGUAAAUCCACGCUAGGUGUGAAGUAAUCCCGUUGCCAGAAGUCAGAAAUGUAAAUUGUAUUUUAAAGCCAGGCCUUUGUGGUUUCUGGAAGACCCUGAAGAACCAGAAGCUGGAGGCCAAGACCCUACUUUGCCCAGUCCCAGCAGGAAAAAUUGGUUUCAGUCUCCGCCUCCCUGGGAACGCGCUCCCACAACCCUUGGAAUCUCUGGAGUGAUGAGGGUCUUUUAUAUGUUAAUGAGAGGCCCAAGGGCUGGGGAGCCCAAAGACAGCUCUCAGAAUUGAAGUUGGUCACCAAGAAGACCCGAGGUGGGAUUAGAGGGCUAGGGAUCGAGCUAAUGGCCAUUGGCCGAAGAUGUCAUCCGUCACCCCUGUGUACUGAAACCUCCAUAAAACCCCCCAGAUCAAGGGGCUGGGGAGCUUUGGGGGUUGACGGCCAUAUCCCGGUGCCAGAAGGUGACGUGAGAAGGCACAGAAGCUCCAUGCCGUCUCAACCUACUUUGCCCUACCCAUCUCUUCCGUUUCGCUGUUCCUGAGUCGGUCCCCUUUAUAGGGAACCAGUAAUAGCCGUAAGUGAAGGUCUUUCUUCGGUUCUGUGAGCUGCAAGUUGUCCAACCUGAGGACGGGGGUGUGGGAACCCCUGAUUCAUGGCCACUGGAGCAGAAGUGCCGGUGAUCCAGGCAUCUGAAGUGAGGAUGGUCAUGCGCACUGAGCCCUUCACCUGUGGGCUUGGCUCUAACCCGGGGUAAGGUCAGAACCGAACUGAACUCGUGGACGCCCAGCUGGUGUCGGUGUGGGGUAACAAACUCACGCACUUGAUGUCGGAGGGGGUGUGAAUAGAAACAGU